rnacentral:rRNA from 1 species
UAUAGUUAGUUUUUUAUUAAAUUUUUUAUUAAUUUUUAUUUAGUAUUUAAAGAAUUAUUUUUAUUAGAUUUCUGCUAGGGGUAUAAAAUUUAAUUUUUAAGAAAAAUUUUGUAGUACCUUUUGUCUCAGGGAGAAUUAAGUUAAUUAAUUAUUUUUUUUUCCCGAAUUAAAUUGUUCAAUUAAAAUUUUUAUAUUAUUUGUUUUAUAAAAUAUUUAAAGUUUUUUUUUGUAGAUAUAUUCUAUUCGAUUUUUAUUAUAUCUGGUUUCUUAAGAUUAAAUUUAAUUUUUUAUUAAUUAUUUAAUAAUAUUAAAUAAGGGAUAAGCUUUAUUUGUUAAUAAAAUUUUUUUAAUUUAAUUUUUACUAUUUUUUAAAUUUUAAAUUAAGUUAUUAAUAUAUUAUUUUUUUUUUAUAAUUAUUUAGUUUAAUUUAUUUUUUUAUUAAGUUAAGUUAUUUAUUAAAUUUUUUAUUUAAAUUUUGAUUUUAUUAGUAAAAUCUUAUUUUAAUAAUAAAUGAACUCGACAAAUUUAAUUUUCAACUGUUUAUCAAAAACAUUUUUUUUAGUUUUUAUUAAAAAUAUAAUCUGCCCUAUGAUUAUAGAUUUAAAUGGCUGCAGUAUUUUAACUGUACGAAGGUAGCAUAAUAAUUAGUUUUUUAAUUGAGGACUGGAAUGAAAGAUUUAAUGAGAAAUUUAUUUUAUUAUUUUUAAUUUUUAAAUUUUAUUUUUAGGUAAAAAAGCUUAAAUUUUUCUUUGGGACGAAAAGACCCUAUAGAACUUUAUUUAAUUUAGUAAAUUAAUUAUAAUUAUAUAGUUUUUAUUUUUAUAUUAAAAUUUAUUGGGGUGAUUAAUAAAUUUAACUUUAUUUUCUUAUUUCAUUAAUUUAUGUUUAUUAUGACUUAAUAUAUAAUUAAAAGAUUUAGUUACCUUAGGGAUAACAGCGUAAUUUUUAUGGAGAGUUCAUAUCUAUAUAAGAGUUUGCGACCUCGAUGUUGAAUUAAGAUAAWAAAAUAGGGAAAUAUUUAUUUUUAUAAGUCUGUUCGACUUUUAAAUUCUUACAUGAUUUGAGUUCAAACCGGUGUAAGCCAGGUUGGUUUCUAUCUUAAGAUUUUUUAAUUAAUUUAGUACGAAAGGACCAAUUAAUUUGUUUAAAAUGUUUU